GACAAAAUGAAGUUGCAAGAGAGCAGUGCUUCUUUCUCUCUCUUCUUGAUAUUAAAUUCUUUCUUAUCUGGGCCUGCAUUUGCACAUCAAGUUACAUUUUAUGUGCACAACAAAUGCCCAUUUCCCGUAUGGCCAGCAACAGCAGCCAACAGAGGCCAUCCGGUAAUCGCAGACGGUGGAUUCUACCUACCCUCAGGUGAAACUCAACGCAUAGUUGCUCCCUGGGAUUGGAACGGCAGAAUAUGGGCUCGAACAGGCUGCAAUUUCAACUCCAAUUGGCAACCUGGCUGCGAAACAGGCGACUGCGAUGGACGCCUGGCCUGUAAUGGGCUAAUAGGCACACCUCCAGUCACUCUAGUGCAAAUCUCUCUCCAAGCAGACAAAAGCAAGCCAAAUUUCUACGACGUGAGCUUGGUUGAUGGAUACAAUCUUCCUGUUUCUGUCACGAAUAAGCAAACAUCACCUAAAUGCACCAUCGGUGGUUGCUCUAAAAGCUUGAAAAAUUGGUGCCCACAUGAGCUUCAAGUCUUGAACAAUAAUGGCGAAGUUGUGGCUUGCAAAAGUGCUUGCUUGGCUUUCAAUCUUGAUUCAUUUUGUUGCAGGAAUGACUAUGGAAGCCCUGAGAAGUGCAGACCAAACGUUUACUCAAAGAUAUUCAAGGAGGCUUGUCCAAGUUACUAUAGCUAUGCUUUUGAUUCACCUCCUCCAUUGGUCAAUUGUGCAGCCACAGAAUACUUCGUAACUUUCUGCCCUUCUUCGUGGGGCGGUGAGUACAAGUCUACAUAGCUAUGUGAAGGUGAUGGUAUGCCUAAUUAUAAAUAAUUAAUGUCGGCUUUAACUAGAAACUAAGGAAUGUUGGGUCUUGUGCAAUGAUGCUCUUUUUCCAAUAAUUAAUUAAUUAUAUUAAGCUUCUAUCAACUUUAAACUUUGCUUAAUUAUAUAAAACACUAAUCAUAUAUUAAUACAUCGUAUCUGGCAUGCACACGCAUAUACAUAUAUCUAUACUAUUUAUAACAUACAUAUAUAUCUAUACUAUAUAUAAAUAUGAAAAAGAAAAACAUUUGAUUUUGUCAAAAAUAUUCUUAUUUUUUACAUUAUUUAUAAUUAUAUUUUUUUGUUAUUUAAAUUUUAAUUUAAAAAAAUUCUUAAUUAGACUAAAUUAUCACGAGCAAGGUUUCCAAACUCAGCUUAAUCAUUAAAUCGUUGAAGACAGAGGAAUAAGAAUUUAAGGUUCAAUAGUGCCGAAUCGAG
rnacentral:misc_RNA from 1 species